UUAACUACAUGGAAAAUGAAGUUUGCAUUUUUCUCCAGGGAUAAGUUUUUCUAUUAAACCUAAAUCUAGCAGAUAGUUUUUUGCAAACAUGGACUUUUUGGAAUGAGAUCUAUGGGAAACACAGUCUCUAAUUUAAGGGAUGGGACAGUUGGUUUCACAAUGACAGUUGCCCUCCUGGCUCCCUUCCCUGACAGCCCUAGUGCAGAUGACUGCAGAAAGAUACCAGAAGGGACGGAACCAGAAAAACUCAAUGACGUGCACAAGCCCUAAGGAUCACCCCUGCUCCUCUUCAGCUUCCCUAGGUUACAAGAUAAUGGAGAAAGAGUGGAGAAGAAACUGACACAAGGCACAGAGAGAUGGAUUGUUUCCUGCCUUUUGUCUAUGUAACAGAACCACUGUCUUCCUGUAAGCCCUAUGACAAUGUUUGUUGGCAAUUUCUUCUAACAACCAUGGAGGAGGUGCUAUAAAGGUAUUGAGAAGGAGUUCUGCACUGUGGAUAAUCAUCUUUCUGGAACUGUAAGUGUGGAGGACUAAGUGCCAUUUACUGUACUCAACUAUUAAUGA